GAAAUUUCAAGGGUUCUCCAUAGCUAGGGUUUGUUUCAAGCUUCCAAGCUCCAUAAUCAAGAAAGACGUGGAAUCGACCUCAAUCGAGGAAAAGAAAAGAUUGUGGACUAAAUUGCAAAAUCUUUGUAUUUUGGUACCAAGGUAAGUUCAUGUGUAAAUAAUGUAGCAUAAUGGUUAUUUUUAAGUUAUUGAUGUUAAUUAUAUGUUAUGCUGAAUUUUAUUAUGAAAUGUAUGCUUUGUGGUUAAUUUCAAAUAAUAUGUAAAUUAUGUGAACUACUUGUUAAAUAUAAUUGUUACUGAGUAUUGAUUUCGGCAUUCUACGGAAGAUGGCAAUGAUAAGUGUUCGAGAAAAAUCCCGUUUGAACCUUAGGAAUAGAUUAGGAUACAAGUGACAUGUCACUAGGAUGGUUGAGCAUUCGAGCUCGUUGAGUUGAGUCCGAGUUCACUUAUGGAUGCGAAUGUCCGAACUCGUUGAGUUGAGUCCGAGUUCGUGAAAUGUAACUAGGCAUCCGAGCUCGUUGAGUUGAGUCCGAGUUCACUUAUGGAUGCGAACGCCCGAGCUCGUUGAGUUGAGUCCGAGUUCGCUUAUGGGUGGGUUACAUGAUUGCUUGAUUGUAUAUAUGGCACUUAUGUGCAAGAUAUCCAUGUAUCUGAAUUAUAUUCCGAUGUGUUCAACGGGUAAAGUCCUACUCAAAUGGAGGAAAAUUUCGAGAUGUAAAGAGACGUAUUGGUAAGUGAUAUGAAAUGGAUAUUUUGGACAGGUAUGUAUUUAAACCUCGGGUUGAGUAUUGAUACAACCACGAUAAGUUUUGGACAAGCCAGCUCAGGAGUCGGGAUAGGUCGAAGGCUCAGUCACACUAUCCGGAAGACUUUUGGUAAUGGCUUGUAAAUUUAAGUAUGGCAUGUAUAGCAAUAUACCUUUUUUGUGUAAAUGAUCUUAUGGUAUGGUGAUGGAAUGGUUG
rnacentral:lncRNA from 1 species